GCGGGAGUAGCUCAGUGGUAGAGCGCCUGCCUUCCAAGCAGGAUGCCGAGGGUUCGAUCCCCUUCUCCCGCUCCA
rnacentral:tRNA from 2 species